rnacentral:misc_RNA from 1 species
CUGAGCUCGCAGAACUCCCGUAACCACUGUGAACUUACCUAUCCCGUUGCCUUCGGCGGGGGGCCUCCGGCGCGUCUUCGGCGCCACCCCUCGGGGCGCGCCAGCCCGCCGGCGGCGCCCUAAACUCUAGUCUCUUACAUUGGCAUCUCCGAGCAGACUAUAAACUAAGUCA